GCUUACCUGCUUUAUUCAAUGGGUUCUUGCA
rnacentral:piRNA from 1 species